rnacentral:tRNA from 1 species
GAGGAUUUAGCUUAAUUAAAGUGUUUGAUUUGCAUUCAAUUGAUGUAGGACGAAUCCUGCAGUCCUUA